GGUGAUAAUAAAGGCAAAAAUUAGCAUAAUGCGUCAAUACGACAAUUAAUAAUUAUUGAGAUGGUCGACGAGUGACGAGUGUAACGUCAUGGUAUACCGAUACUGCUUUUCACAGUUUCUUUCGUGGUGUUAUUGUGACUAUCAGAUGUCGGAUUUCGUUUCGUUGACCAAAAAGUAGCGUUGACGUGUUGGAACUCGAGUAUCUGAUAUUGGAUAUGUGAUUUCGGCCUGAUGUUUUCGCCAAUACUUAACUAUUUAAACAAUGUAUAACUAAAGACCUAGAACGUGAAAUAGAAAUAAUAAUCGACGCAACCGUUGAAGGUGUCAGCAAAAAAGGAGCAGUUACUGAUGAGAGUAUACUAUAGUUGCAGAAAAGCGAAUACAAUUUGUUGGAUGAAAUGCUGCACAGUUAGGAAAGCUGAAAAAACAAGCAGAAACAUUUACUUUCCAGGCUGAAGUUCAUCAAAUUAUGAAAGUUAUUAUCAACUCAUUAUAUAGAAGUAAAAAAAUUUAUUUCAAAUACUUCAGAUAAAAUAAGAUUAUUGGCAUUGUCUAAUAUUAAUAUUUUAGAUGUCUUAACUUCUGCCGGAAAAAUAAUGUUAAUAGCAAGAGGCUAGACCGGAAAUCAAACCCAGUGUGAACCCAGAUUAUAUUAUAAUUUUUUUUUUAAAUUAAUAUUAACCUAUUUUUACAUAAUAUAUUUGAUGUAAAAUAGGUAUAUAGGUAGUUGCAUAUUUUGAAAUGUAUUUUUUAAUGAAUAUUUGGUCAUUAACACCCAAGCUCUAAUCAUUACUAAAUGAAAAUGGUUUAUAUUUA